rnacentral:misc_RNA from 1 species
CCGAGUUCAUGCCCUUCGGGGUAGAUCUCCCACCCUUUGUAUACUAUACCUCUGUUGCUUUGGCGGGCCGCCUAGCUACUGGCUUCGGCUGGUAAGUGCCCGCCAGAGGACCCAAAACCCUGAAUAUUAGUGUCGUCUGAGUAAAAAGUUUAAUAUUUA